UUUCCGCUCUCUCUCCAAAAAAUCAAAACGAAACCCAUCGCCCCUGGCUGGAUUGGAUCCCCUUUCCCCUCCCUCGUACCUAACCCGUCCCUGCUCAAGACGAGAGCAAGAGGCGGCUCCUGGCGCCAGCACGACGCGACGGCGACCCACCAGCCCGGAGGGGACCCUACGGCGUCGCGGCGCGCUCCGUCGAGCUUGCCACCACCGCGCGCAGCAGCCAGCAGGGCAUGGCGGCCGCCUCAUGCCGCUACAUCCCCUCCCCCUCCGCCCGCCUCAUCCUCCACGACGCCCAGCACGAACGCGCUCAAGGCCGCGCCCCUGCUCUCCAACCCAAUCUUGUAUCUUGCUUGUAUGGAGGGUGUAAAAAUCCACCUUUUUUUUAUUUACCUAAUGCAGUACCAUUCUUAAUUAAUAUAUUCCAGAGGCAGCUACCGUUUGUAGAUUCAUCCAAGAACUUCACAUUGCUUGUUUCGCUGCAGGGACGCCAAGACCUAAUCCCAGCACACACACACAUCUGCUACUACACACUAGAAGCUUAAUUUCUCCCUUUAACCAAAGCUGGAGCUACGAUUUUGCUCAGGCAAAGCUGCUGUUUCCCUCAGAUGCUGCGGACGGUAACUCAAUCGCAAGGAUAUAUUGACGAUGAGUAGGAGGAGGACCUGAUGAUGGAGCCUGCUGCCCCAAAGCUGGAUGCAUCACUUGAAAGGCGCCGCGACCCGCGCAUCUCUUCGCCUCGCUCAAGCCAUCUUCUCUACCUCUGCGAUAAUAUGGUUACAAUGCAUGAGCCGCAAUUUCAGAAGAAUCUCCCUAGUCGUAACACACAUCAUCUUAUACAACCUUACUUCAGUUUUGUGGAAUUUCUCUUCAGUUAGACCUCUGAUCGAUCGAUUUUACGUUUGGUUAGACCUGUGCAGCCGAGUUGAAUUUCGCGCUUGAGGUGUGCGCUUUCUGCACUUUUACUGUCUUGCUAGUAUAUGAAUUGUGGUCUGGAUGUCCAGAAAACUUGCUUGCUUUACUGGUACUUGUAUCACUUGCUGUAGAGGAUUAUGUGUUUAUCAUCGGCUAGCUAGUUUGUUUGUCGCUCAAAUUUAUUUGGCUUCCUAGAAUAAUCAGCAUAAACAUAUUCUCUGCUCCUGCUCUAAAUAUUUCUUGCUUCUCUGUCGGCAUAGUGCUAAGUGUGCACGUUUUAUUUGCAGAAUGGACAAGUGGAGCUGGAGCUGGAGCUGUCCAGUAGGUUGAGGUGGUCGAGUACGUGGACUAGGUAAAGAAGGAAAGAAAUAAAUAAGACUAGGAAGGAUUAGCUAGAUCCUCCCGUUCUAAUCUGGUCGGUCUGGUGCAGGGAAGGGAGACGCUGCCGCCUCAUUUGCUGAAUGUCCAAUUUUUUGUAACGCUCCAGACUAGUAGUUGUAAUUGUGUGCUAAACUGUUGUUUCGUUUGCAUGUAGUCUCUGUUCUUCAGUUGCGUUUCUAUUUGUUUAUAGAGUUGAAUUGUGUGUUUGUAUGUCACAAGAGUUGUGCAAAUUCUAUUGUUCGUUGUUUGAUCUAUGUCUAAACAAGAGGGGAGGUUAUGCUAAUUUUUUUUUAUCA